CAGCGCCGUACUGACACGAGUAGCCAUUCAGGUUGUGGUUUACUUCUUCAUUUAUUUAACUACUCUUAACAAUAUUUGAUCCGAUAUAGUUCUCGAAUUAUAUGAUGAUUAGUGAAACACGAAUUCCCAACAAUUCAGAAGGAAAUGGAAGUGACACAAUUAAAUAUUGUAGCGUGUAGAACGACGGCGAGAUGGAUGAAUAUACUAGGGCCGCUUCUGGGCAACGACUCGGUGUCCGUGCUUCGAUUGCGAGGUGGCAAAGAUUGGUUUGGGGAAACUUCCGAUGGGCUUGCAGGAGCGACAUCAAAUCCCUGAAAGAGUUUAGACAUUUCCCGAGUUCCACGCGCUGUCCUAUUACGUCACUGAGCCUGCAGAAGAUUGGUUACGCAGUCCGCUCCUGUAAACGCCGAUCACAGCGGCCGUGCGUCCUAAGGCAUGAAACGUCUUUGCCCGCUUCAACACUGGGAUCUUGGCUUCG